GAUAUUACUUAGAACACCAAUUGCGAAGGCAGGUUACUAAGCAACAACUGACGCUGAUGGACGAAAGCGUGGGGAGCGAACAGGAUUAGAUACCCUGGUAGUCCACGCCGUAAACGAUGCUAACUCGUUUUUGGAGCGCAAGCUUCAGAGACUAAGCGAAAGUGAUAAGUUAGCCACCUGGGGAGUACGAACGCAAGUUUGAAACUCAAAGGAAUUGACGGGGGCCCGCACAAGCGGUGGAUUAUGUGGUUUAAUUCGAUGAUACGCGAGGAACCUUACCAAGGCUUAAAUGGGAAAUGACAGGUUUAGAAAUAGACUUUUCUUCGGACAUUUUUCAAGGUGCUGCAUGGUUGUCGUCAGCUCGUGCCGUGAGGUGUUAGGUUAAGUCCUGCAACGAGCGCAACCCCUGUCACU
rnacentral:rRNA from 1 species